rnacentral:rRNA from 1 species
GUUUCUUAAUCGACAUUUCACGUUAACUUUCACUCCAUUUCCAGUUUUUAUACCGUCGUCUCUAGAAUAAGUUUUAAAAUUUAUUCGUCAAAUUUAAGAUAUUAAGUCAGAUCAAGGUGAAGCCUAUAAUUGAGAUCUUAAUGAGUUAUACAUUAAUACUAUUAAAAGAUUAUUUAUAAAAAUUUGCAUGAAUUAAGAUUUGAUAGUACAAAUAAAUUAAAAAUUCAUUUGGAACAUUUCCUUUAAGGUGUACAUAUCGCCCGUCACCCUCAUCUAAAGAUGAGGUAAGUCGUAACACAGUUAAUAUACUGGAAAGUGUAUUAGGGG